rnacentral:lncRNA from 1 species
GAAUUUGUACUCUAAACAUAGCUAACAUUGAAGUAUUCAAUUCUAAGACUCUAUAUCCCAAGUCUAUUUGUCAAAAGGUAUCAGAUAGUUGUUCACUAAAUACAUGGCCUACAUAUGAGAAUUAGGAAACCAUUUGUUGGAUUAAAGAGGGAACCACAGGCAACAACUACCAACUACCAAUAGAGUAAUGCAUAAUCAAUUUCUUGAAAAUUGACACCAAAUAUUUCCUUCAUUGCAACAGUAUUCUCACAAAAGAUUCUACUAAGUGGGAAGCAAAAUUAACAAGAAAAAUCAAGGUAAAAGGAAUUCUUACUUCGUAAACUAAACUAAAGCCCAC